ACUCUACGGGAGGCAGCAGUGAGGAAUAUUGCACAAUGGGGGGAACCCUGAUGCAGCAACGCCGCGUGGAGGAUGACGCAUUUCGGUGUGUAAACUCCUUUUAUCAGAGAAGAAGAUGACGGUAUCUGAUGAAUAAGCUCCGGCUAACUCCGUGCCAGCAGCCGCGGUAAUACGGAGGGAGCAAGCGUUACUCGGAAUCACUGGGCGUAAAGGAUGCGUAGGCGGGUGAUCAAGUUGAGAGUGAAAUCCUAUGGCUUAACCAUAGAACUGCUCUCAAAACUGGUUACCUAGAAUAUGGAAGAGGCAGAUGGAAUUAGUGGUGUAGGGGUAAAAUCCGUAGAGAUCACUAGGAAUACCGAUUGCGAAGGCGAUCUGCUGGGACAUUAUUGACGCUGAGGCAUGAAAGCGUGGGGAGCAAACAGGAUUAGAUACCCUGGUAGUCCACGCCCUAAACGAUGCACACUAGUUGUUGCGAUGCUCGUCAUUGCAGUAAUACAGUUAACACAUUAAGUGUGCCGCCUGGGGAGUACGGUCGCAAGAUUAAAACUCAAAGGAAUAGACGGGGACCCGCACAAGUGGUGGAGCAUGUGGUUUAAUUCGAAGAUACGCGAAGAACCUUACCUAGCCUUGACAUAUAUUAGAAUCCACCAGAGAUGGAGGAGUGCCUUCGGGAGCUUUUAUACAGGUGCUGCACGGCUGUCGUCAGCUCGUGUCGUGAGAUGUUGGGUUAAGUCCCGCAACGAGCGCAACCCUCGUCACUAGUUACUAACGGUUCGGCCGAGGACUCUAGUGAGACUGCCUUCGUAAGGAGGAGGAAGGUGAGGACGACGUCAGUCAUCAUGGCCCUUACGGCUAGGGCAACACACGUGCUACAAUGGCCAGGACAGUGAGACGCGAUACC
rnacentral:rRNA from 1 species